UACAAUUAAAUAAAACCAGUAUGCUAGUGAACUACUCCUAAAUACCAUCUCUAUCAAUAAAUGCAACUCAGUUACAUGGGUGGCUGUUACUAAUCAGAAUGAUAUGUAAUAGAUAACAACUACCUGCUAAUGGUGGCUUGAUGAUCAUGCAUAAAUAUGAAUAAAUAUAUGAUGGUGGUUUAUUAUUUUCUUUGCAGUUAUGGUUUGCAGAAGAGGAUUUAUUUUUAUUACUGAACUCUGAACUAAAACAAAUCUGAAGUUCCGAAGUUGGACUUAGAUUUUUCUUCUGAAAAACCCAUAACAGUUACUAUUUUUAUAUAUCAAAUAUCGUCGAUUCUUUGACAUAACAUUUCUGUCAGAAAUAUUUUCUUCGGAAGAAACAAUUAAAUCCUCCACCUUAAUGUAGAACUGAUCCUAUUAUGCAGCAAGUCUGGAGACCAAAGCAAAUCAUUUUAUUGGUAAUCUAUUCAUAUAAGCCAACCAAACACAUUCGUUGGCUCAAUCUUGGCUGAUAUAUAUUGACCUAAUAAACAAAGUAAAUGCCAACACACACAAGCUUGUCAUAUUAUUGAACUUGUACUAAUACAUUCGUCACUUCAAUCUUGGCUACGGUACUCAAUUGUUGACCUAGUAAAGAAUGUAAAAUGCCAACAUACAGAAGUUUGUCAUGUCAUGAAUGUAUUCUUGUUGAGUGUUGUCGUCAACUAAAACAAAUAUAUCCUCAACGACGACUAUAAAUAUUACAGCCUAACAGAGAGAGUUCAAGUCAUUGAAAAUACUUCAACAAGCUAGCUUCAUAAGACAUAUAACCAGAAUCAAUAUAUCAAGAAGAUGGCACUAUCAAAUUGGUCUGCGUAUAACAUCUCUGCAUUAUGGUCUUAUGCCCGUGAUGGGAAAAGGCUAAGCUGUCUUUCCCAGCGCAAUAAUACGGUACUAAGUUGUUCCUCAAGCGCGCACACAAUAUUUUAUUGUUUUAUAGAUCAAUGAUUUUUUUUUUUUCUUUAGAGCAUCGUCGGGAUUGUAGGGGCAAGCAACCUCAGAAUUAACUUGGGUUCUGACAGCAGUUGCUGGAAACGCACUACCAGAUUUAUUAGGUAAGUCGGAAGCAUGCCUGUGUAGAGUUGGUGUCAAUCCAAGUUCCACGUCAUAAAGAUACUAUUUAUUUCAGAACUUGUCUAAUUAUUUGAUAUCAUACUGGUCAUUUUGGCAGAGGUUCCCAUGCCAGUUGUUAUGAAUUAACAAGCAUACGGUCGCUACAAGUGAGUGGAAGAUACGGGAUACAUUCUCUGACAGAAGGAAUGCGUUAUAAUGUGCUGAUUGUGGUAGAGUUGUUACAAACUUGCAUUACUGGGCCGCUGACAUGCACUCUUAUUGAUUCCACCGGACAUAGGCAUGACUCCAAGAAGUAUUACUGUUCGCAAAUGGUGAAGAACCAAAUCAUAAGCCUUCAUGUUGGCCAGUUCUGUGCCCGCAAGUCGUUAUUUGGCUAUGGAGAAAUCAACUUCUCCGUAGUCAACACUGAUAAAGAACGGAAGCAUGGUAUCGUCGUGAUUGGAGCUCUUGUUGUGCCUGUAAAGUAAAAUAGGCCGGGAAGAAAGUCUGGAUAGAAAUGGGCAUACCUACAUUGAAAAGUCCCCCAUAUACAUCAAUACACCAAAAUCCCAUAUGCAGAGGAAUUUCUACUGUUUUUUCCUUAUUUUGCAUUUGGUUAAUGAUAUGACGAAUGGAACUUAUAGCCACUACUGCAUGUUUCAAUUUAUAGACCAUAAAUUAUAAUACAAUUUUCACUUAACUAGUGCCACACAUCAUGAAUCUAUUUUAAUUAGACAAGUCUAAACAACAAAUUGACACAACAGUACAUUUGUAAGUGAACUCCUACAAAAAUUGAUCAAUAGCUUACCCAAACUGUUUAAAUAUUAGGAUUUACAUAAAUCUUCCUCAGAGUCCCUACCCAGAUGUAAAUAUAUUAUCUUCUAAUAUUCAACCCUCGGAAUCUGUCAAAUAAAUGGGGCUUUCCAGAUCAGCUGCAGUUGCUGAGGCAAAAGAGUCAAAACUAUCUACAGAUGACAAGGAAGAAGGGCAGUUGUAUGAGUCUGUAGAAGUUUGUUUAUUGCAGCCUUUGCAGCUUCAACAAACCAUUCAUCCUCUGGUGAUGCACUACAAAGAUAUUACAAUCUCAGAUUGAGGCAGAAGGAGAAUCUUCCCAGUUAAAGGUAACAGUUGUACACUGGGAAGCUUGGCCGGCUAGGACUUGUACACUUACAAGUCAUGUUGUGACAGGAAAUUUUAAAAAACCUUCAGGCAGAACCAAAUUUUUUGUUGUAUUUUGGCUAAUUUGAACAUACAGGAUUACAAAGAAUAUUAUCGCAAUUCUAUCUGCAAUAAAGAAGAUGCAUAUAUUCCAAAAAUUGACCCACACACAACUUUAUACCUAAUCUGUAUAACUGCCUUUAAGGCUUUUAAAAAAACAUACUCCACAAGAUGAGGGUUCCUUGUCAUUCUUUGCAGCAUGAAUGCAUACUUUUUAUUUCCUAUCAAUUUUUAGUAAAUAAAGAUUCCAGUUCAAUUCCAGAGGAACCUUAUGUACUUAUUCGAGGAAAAAAUGUAUUUGUUUAUCUAAUUUAUCCAACUAAACUUAGACAUAGUUCAUGAUAUAUAUGUUGUCGAUGUUUCAUGAUUUCUCAAUGUUAUUACUUCCUGAAAUGACCAGAUCAGAUAUAUCCUAAUUAUUCUUCUUUGCCAAGGACCAAAAUGAAUGGAACAAGAAUCCAGUUGGGUGAAUGAAAAGCUUGCAUGCAUUAUUGUAGAUGUUCUCAUUUCUGAGUACUAUAAAUGCUGGUUGAUUGUAGAGUUUUAAGUCAUCGCGAUUGAAAGAAAACAGUACUAAGUAAUACUUGUUCUUUCAAUCGCGAAAAUGGCUCAAGCAGUGAGGUGUCUUGAUGGUCAGUCACUUUGGUGUCUGGCUAAGGCAGGCCAGAACAAUUCGGUAAGUGUGAAAUUGUAAUUAGUACGUUCAUAUUUAUUGACAUUGGCAUAAGUAUCCGACGAUCUUUCUGUAUAGAGUGUCAUUGGGCAUCUGGAUGCAAGGGAACUGGAAAUUACCUGGGGUUGCGACACUCGCUACUGGAAAUGGAUUGGCAUGCAAAUCGGGUGAGUUCAUUUAAAAAGAUAGAUAGGAAUAUAUGAUCAUUACUAUAAUCCUGUCUAACAUUUUUGUUUCUAUUACACAGUGGACAUUGCAUUGAAGUUGCUGAACUGAUUAAUGUCUGCCGGCUGGAAAUUAAUGGGAGAUACGCGAUGAAUAAACUUACUGCAGAAAUGAAUUACCAAGUGAAGUUCGUGUUGAAGCUCUUGAACAAUUUCAACAUUGACAAACCACUGAUCUUUAGCCUGACUACUCCAGAGGGAUGCAGGAAAGAGCAUCAGAAGAACAUGAUGCAAAUGUCAAGAAACCAAAUCAUUACCAUCGAUGUCGGGGAAUUUCAGACCCCCCCGGAACAAUUGUAGAUCUGGAGAAGUCAGGUUCCAGAUGGAUAAAACUGAUCACUUUUGGAAGCGUGGCCUGGUUGUCAUUGGAGCCGUUGUUGUGCCCAAAUACAAUUAAAUAAAACUCAGUUUACAUGGGUGGCUGUGACUGUAAUAGAUAACAACCUACUAAUGGUGGCUUGGUGAUGAUGCAUAAAUAUGAAUAAAUAUACGAUGGUGGUUUAUUUUCUGAACUCCUAGAUUUUUUUUGUUUGAUUUUCUAUAA
rnacentral:lncRNA from 1 species